AGUGAACGCUGGCGGUAGGCCUAACACAUGCAAGUCGAACGGCAGCACAGUAGGAGCUUGCUCUUACGGGUGGCGAGUGGCGGACGGGUGAGGAAUACAUCGGAAUCUACUUUUUCGUGGGGGAUAACGUAGGGAAACUUACGCUAAUACCGCAUACGACCUACGGGUGAAAGCAGGGGAUCUUCGGACCUUGCGCGAUUGAAUGAGCCGAUGUCGGAUUAGCUAGUUGGCGGGGUAAAGGCCCACCAAGGCGACGAUCCGUAGCUGGUCUGAGAGGAUGAUCAGCCACACUGGAACUGAGACACGGUCCAGACUCCUACGGGAGGCAGCAGUGGGGAAUAUUGGACAAUGGGCGCAAGCCUGAUCCAGCCAUACCGCGUGGGUGAAGAAGGCCUUCGGGUUGUAAAGCCCUUUUGUUGGGAAAGAAAAGCAGCAGGUUAAUACCCCGCUGCUCUGACGGUACCCAAAGAAUAAGCACCGGCUAACUUCGUG
rnacentral:rRNA from 1 species